rnacentral:rRNA from 1 species
UACGUAGGAUCCAAGCGUUAUCCGGAAUUACUGGGCGUAAAGCGUACGUAGGUGGAUGUUUAAGUCUGAUGUGAAAGCCCCCGGCUCAACCGGGGAGGGUCAUUGGAAACUGGGGAACUUGAGUAUAGAAGAGGAAAGUGGAAUUCCACGUGUAGCGGUGAAAUGCGUAGAGAUGUGGAGGAACACCAGUGGCGAAGGCGACUUUCUGGUCUAUAGCUGACACUGAGGCGCGAAAGCGUGGGGAGCAAACAGG